GACAGACUUCUUUGCUUCCCUGCUCCUUGGGGAUUAGAUGCUGAUGGUUUUCUUUAUCGGCUCCAUCCAGGAUGGCUGCUCUCCCCUCCGCCCCCUUCCCCAAUCCUAGAACCUCCAGCAGUGCAGCAUCUAGAGAUCAGAGGAGGAAGCUCAAGAUCUGGGCAGGAUGGGACCCCGCGGGCCUGGGAGACGAUUGUCGGGAGCAGCCUGAGGAUCACCCGGCUAGCCCGUCGGGGAGGGAAAGAGAACCACAGGCCCUAGACAGGCUGCUCCUUCAGCCCAGCUGCCAGCAUGAAGAAGACAUGCAGAGCAGAGACAUGACCACUGGCCUGCGAAUAAGAGAACUUCUGGGGCAUCUGCUGAAUAUGAUUUGGAAACCGCUGAUCCAGUCCAACAGGAUGCACGGAAACAGCCUGUGUGCAGCCAGGAGCCGAUGACAAGUCCAGCCUCACAGAGAGCCUGGGCCUGUCCCAGCAGAGGACUCCCCACCACCCCAUCUUCCACUCUGGAAACGGUGGGCCCCCCAUCUGCAAAGCAGUUCCAUCUCCUCCAUCCCUGCACCCCAAAACAAACAAACAAACAAACAAACAAAAUGUGGGAGUUAAAGAGGGGUUGAAGAUCCCAUCUGGGCAUUAUAUGAUUCC
rnacentral:lncRNA from 1 species